rnacentral:snRNA from 1 species
ACAAGCGAUUCGAAAGACU